rnacentral:ncRNA from 2 species
GUGAUUGGUAGAGGAGCGAAAACCAUUAGUAGACGUGCCGAGGAAAUGAGAUCUGUAGACGUACGUUAAAAGGGGAAUUCGCCGAAGUGCAAGGUGAGACUCAUCUUUUCUUGUGCUGGACCUAUGCUAAAUAGGCAUAGGGCUGUCACAUACUUACACCCAAGAAGUAUGUGGAGAACUAUCUCACGA